rnacentral:rRNA from 1 species
GAUGAACGCUAGCGGCAGGCCUAACACAUGCAAGUCGAGGGAGAAGCCCUUUCGGGGGCAGAAACCGGCGCACGGGUGCGUAACGCGUAUGCAACCUACCUUUCACAGGGGGAUAGCCCGAAGAAAUUUGGAUUAAUACCCCAUAAUAUUAUUGGAUGGCAUCAUUUGAUAAUUAAAACUGCGGUGGUGAAAGAUGGGCAUGCGUCCUAUUAGCUAGUUGGAGUGGUAACGGCACCCCAAGGCUACGAUAGGUAGGGGUCCUGAGAGGGAGAUCCCCCACACUGGUACUGAGACAGGGACCAGACUCCUACGGGAGGCAGCAGUGAGGAAUAUUGGUCAAUGGUCGGAAGACUGAACCAGCCAUGCCGCGUGCAGGAAGAAUGCCUUAUGGGUUGUAAACUGCUUUUAUAUGGGAAGAAUAAGGCGUACGUGUACGUCGAUGACGGUACCAUAUGAAUAAGCAUCGGCUAACUCCGUG